GGCACACUGGGACAGCAGAGUAAGGCAUGCAGCAGGUCAUGCACGCACUGCUCUCCAAUUCUUUGCAUCUUCUCAUGGAAGUGUGGGAGUCAGAGAAAGGUUAAUCUAAGAUUCUACACUAUCGUUCAUCCUUAGUGAUACAGUUCCAAUGAUGGUCCUCAACAGAAAAUCCAACCAUGGAAAGAAGUGAAGGAACCACUUAUAAAUUCUGAAAUUUAACAGAUAAGUACAGAUUUAAAACAUGAAAGAAAGACAUCAACAGCUCAUCAGGAGGCC